UACGUAGGGGGCAAGCGUUGUCCGGAUUUAUUGGGCGUAAAGCGCUCGCAGGUGGUUCGUUGCGUCGUGCGUGAAAGCCCCGGGCUCAACCUGGGAAUGGCGAUGGAUACUGGCGGGCUAGAGUGCGGUAGAGGAGAGUGGAAUUCCCGGUGUAGCAGUGAAAUGCGUAGAGAUCGGGAGGAACAUCAGUUGCGAAGGCGGCUCUCUGGACCAGCACUGACACUGAGGCACGAAAGCGUGGGGAGCAAACAGG
rnacentral:rRNA from 1 species